rnacentral:lncRNA from 1 species
AACCCUAUUCUUUUCUCUAUUCUUUCUUUCUUUCUUUUUAUGAAAGAAAAGGCAUGCACAUGUCUUCUCUCCUCCCCUCAUUCAUCACUAUUUCCUCUCCCCUUCCCUUCUCCUCUUUCCUCUCAUUCCUUUCAUUCUCUUUUUUUUUUCUUUUUUUUUUCUCCUUUUCCUUUUUCUUAUUCUUCCUCCUUCUCUAGCUGAUCUUUCUUCUUCCAUUCUUUUUUCUCUCUCUGUCUUAUUUUUUUGCUCUCCCUCUCCCCCUUUCUACAUCUUCAUCUUCAUCUUCUCUAUUGCUUCAUCCUAUCUCUCUUUUUUCUUUUCCUCUCUUCUUUCCACCACCUCUAUCUCUUCCCUUGCAGAGCUCAACCUCUCCAUUAAUUCCCGAGCUUUAAUAAGACUCAUAGAUCGGCGACCCCACGUCAUGGAGUUGGAAAUGAAGAUUUCACCCUAUUCUUUGGCUUUGAAGCUUGAAACCUACGUAUAACCCUUUGCUUGUUGUUUUUCUCUUCUCUCUUGAUGAGUUUUGGUGCCAUUUGGGCUUUUGUUUGAUGAGUUUAAUUCUUUGUUUAUGGUGUUCUGAAUAUGGUAUGGUUGACCGAGCGAUUUUGCAGUUAACCAGGGUAGGAAUAGUGGAUUGGAUUCGGUAACUGGUGGUCUACUCUAGUUUCGGUCAACUUUGUAAGGGUGGUCAACUGAGCUUGGACCCUAUAUAUGUUGACCGCUGAACACCUAGAGACUCUAGAUAGCAUCUACUUCGACUUCUACCGGAAGUAUAUACACCGACAAAUAGUGAAUAGGAUAUUAUCUCAUUGAGUCAACAAUUAUAAUACUUUCUUGAUUGUAGUGCUUACUCUCCCAUGAUCGUUAUGAAAAUAUGAACUUGUUGCAUCCAGACAUAAUAGUUAUAUUUACUUGUUAUUGACUGAGUAAGAUUUUAUGAUUCGUAAUAAUAUAUUAGUGUGGCUUUGAUUAUGUCAAGUCUGACCUUUAUCUGGUAUGG